UACAGAGGUCCCAAGCGUUGUUCGGAUUUACUGGGCGUAAAGGGUGCGUAGGUGGCGAGGUAAGUUUGAUGUGAAAUCUCCGAGCUCGACUCGGAAACGGCAUUGAAUACUACUUUGCUUGAGGGUCGGAAGGGAGACUGGAAUUCUCGGUGUAGCGGUGAAAUGCGUAGAUAUCGAGAGGAACACCAGUGGCGAAAGCGAGUCUCUGGACGACUCCUGACACUGAGGCACGAAAGCUAGGGGAG
rnacentral:rRNA from 1 species